GCCCAGUGAUUCCAGUAGGUUCCGAGCAGCACUGCGCAGGCGCAGUGAAACCCAUUUGUAUGAUUCGCAGAGACCACGAAGAAGAAAUUUUACAUCUUUCCCCCUAAUAUGUGUUUCUUUUACUCUUGUAGGAAGCAGCAACCAGUGCGGAUUCCAAUGUUGAAUCUUUUCUACCGGAAAAGGUUUUUACCAGGCGCUUCAAUACAAUUGCUGUGAGUUUAUUCAGAAUACCAUGAAAGAAUGAUUAAUAAAAUCAAAACAACUCCAUCCUACCAUGCAGGAACUCUAAGCAGGGCCCGUGCCAAGCUGGAAAAAAAAUUUUCUUCACGAAAUACCCAGAACAAGCCAGUACAGUGCCAAAAUGACAGCCAACAGCAGCUCACAUUCUAAGUUGGAAACAACUGUUCUGGGAGAACCCUGGACAAGACACCACAGUGGCACAGUU